ACGGAGGGUGCAAACGUUGUUCGGAAUCACUGGGCAUAAAGCGCACGUAGGCGGUCCGCUAAGUCAGUUGUGAAAUCCCCCGGCUCAACCGGGGAACUGCAACUGAUACUGGCGGGCUCGAGGACGGUAGGGGUGAGUGGAACUCCAGGUGGAGCGGUGAAAUGCGUAGAUAUCUGGAGGAACACCGGUGGCGAAAGCGGCUCACUGGACCGUCUCUGACGCUGAGGUGCGAAAGCUAGGGUAGCAAACGGG
rnacentral:rRNA from 1 species